rnacentral:sRNA from 1 species
GCCCGUGGUCGAGCCGCUCUUCAAGGUGCGGGACGACCCGC